GCAAACUUGGUCAUUUAGAGGAAGUAAAAGUCGUAACAAGGUUUCCGUAGGUGAACCUGCGGAAGGAUCAUUAAUGAAGUUGGUGUUGGUGGAGGGGUUGUUGGUGGAGGGAGUGAGGGGGGGAGAGGAUGCUUUGCUUUUCUUUGCUUUGCUUUUCUUUUCCUCUUGCUCUGCUCGCCACGCGCCACUCGACAUUUACGCUUGUCCAGUUUGACAGAGUAACGGUGAACAACGAGAUAGACAACUUUUAACAAUGGAUCUCUUGGCUCUUGCAUCGAUGAAGAACGCAGC
rnacentral:misc_RNA from 1 species